AUCAACUUAACAUACCUUUCUACUGAGAGAGGAUCUUCAGAAGUUCUUUUAGGAAAGACAUGAGGGUAAACAAACCGAUGAAACCGUUUUCUUGUCAACCCCUCGGUAUCAACAGCAGUGACGGCGGUUGGGAUUAUGUCUGCCUGGACGGAUUAAUUUUUUUUUGUAAGUGAAGGGAGCUGGAAGUGACGCUCGGUUGUUGAAACAACAGACGAUGAUGAACAGUUGAACACUGCUUGUUCUUAUUGUGGCAGCAUUGGAAUUGUGUGAAUGGGCUAGAGUUUCCCUGUUUAUUCCCGUCCGAUCUUUCUUGGAGUAGCGUGUCAACUGUCAAGAAACAACACGGGCAAGAUCACGGACUCUGGGCUCUUAGAAAUUCAGGAGGCCGAGCCAUGUCGCGAGACUCGAUGAAAUUGUCCGCCUCUCGUCUUGUAGAGAUGACCCGAAAGCGAAAUAGCAUAGACCGAAGUAUCCAAACGCGAAACCCACUCUUAGGCCCUGCGAGGUAACUUGCUAUAGGCUCUUCAUGGUAACCUGUUAUUCUUUUGUUUCUCGAAAUAGAAAAAAAAUAUAGAAAUUCAUUUGAUAAUAUCAAUUAAUUUUUCUAUUCCCGAUAAUAAAAAAAAGUAGUUGAUAAAUAGAUUUAAAAUAGAAAUAAGAAUUAAAAAAAAAGUAAUUUAUUGUUUCCGAGAACAAUUAUUAUAAAUAAGUCAUUUUUUUUUCUUUUCCUUGUUGCUCGUCGCUCCUUACCGUUUGCCACCUCACGCGGCCGCCCGCCAUCGAUCAUCAAUUGCAGCCACCGAGAGGAGGAGCAAGAAAAAGAAGAGAGGGAAAAAAGAAAAAUCUAAAAAAUUUAUUAAUUUUUUUUUUUUAACUUGUAGGUCAUAUCAAACGCAUUCCUCUUUUUUUCUUCAAUCUCGAGAAUAUAAAUUUUGUAUAAUUAUCAAACGUGUUCUUUUAUUUAAAAAUUGUUAUAGAUAUUAUAAAUAGAAAAAGACUACUUUUGAAAAAAAAAAUUGUUUCUCCAAACAAAAAUAUUACCAAACGUAUUCUUAUUAAUAUAGAGUUGAAUUGCUUUCCCAUGAUGUAAUUCUUUUCCAUAUGGAGAUUGUGAAUGAAUUUUUAGGGUGCGCAUCAUAAGCAUCAUAUUCCUCUAAUUUUUAUUUUUUUUGUUCUUAGGAAUAGGCUUGGAACAUAAAUUCACUUGAUAAUGAAAUUUUAUUUUUUACUUGAUGAAAUAAAUUUUUACUUCAGAAGUAGGUUUGGAAUAAAAAUGAGAAAUAAAAUUUUUUUUCUUUUCUAUUUCUGGAACAAAAGUAGAAAUAAAAAAUAUUUUCAUCAUUUACUUUCACUACUAGCUGGCCACCCGUCAUUGCUCGACACUAGUCGCUUGCCGUCUGUUCAUCCACCGCCUCCUAUAGCCAUUUGUGAGGGAGAAAUUUUGUGUUCUCAAACAAAUUUCCAUUUCAAUGAUAGAAAUUUUGUAUAAUUAUCAAAUGCGUAUUUUUGUUCACAAACAUGUCCAAGGAGUUAAAAAAUAGAAAAAUCUGUCUUUGGCCAAAAAUUGAUUUCCAAAAUCGAAUGAUUAUCAUCCGCGUCCUUAAUUUUUGGUUUGUUGUAAUAUGUCGCAAAAUGCGAGUGCCUGGACUUGCUUUUUCCAAACCAUGUAAAGCUUUUCAUAAACCUUUUAAAGCUUACUUUCUUAUGAACUUUUAAAUACAAAAUAUUAUUAAUCUAUCUUUAGAUUAUAAAAAAGUUCACAUAAAUAUACGUAUGUGGUGCUGACAAAUGAGGCAGAACCGGCGGAAAAUGCUAUACCAUGGUGGCAGAUUAAUGAGAAUAAGAAGACGGGGGAGAUCAGCUUGAACAUACUUUUUAAGUGAGAAAAGUGCCAAAAAAGUCAUAAAUCUUUUUAUCUUUGUGCCGAUUUAGUCCUAAACCUUUUUACGUUGUGUUAAUUCAGUCAUUUCCAACCAAUUUUGGUCGGAUUUUGCUAACUGGACGUCGGCCGGCUGACGUGGCCUGAUCGGCGCUAACAUUGACAACUUUUAAUAAUAUUUUAAUAUUUUUUAUUCUUUAUUCUUUAUUCUUUUUCUUUAUUUUUUCUCCUCUUCUUCCUCUAGCUGAUCGCCGGACUUUGGCGAUCAGCCAGAAGCAACGGUCGGCGAGGGUGGCCUCACGUUGGGCGGGCAAGGCCGCCCUCAAGGCCUGGGCGGGGAGGUUCGCCCUCGCCGAAUCUGGUGAGGGUCGAGCCUCACCCAUGGCCUGUGAGGGCGAGCCCAAGCCAGCUCGGCGCAAGGCUAGCUCGAGGCUACCUCCUCUCGCAAAGUGGGCAGGGUUCACCCUCACUGCCCAGGCCUUGAAGGCGGCCUCACACCAAGCGAGCGAGGCUUGCUCUCACCGGAUCUAGCGAGGUCGAGCCUCACCGCCCAUGGGCAAGGCUCGACCCUCACCGGCCGUUGCCUCUGACCGAUUGUGAGGUCCGGCGACUGGUUGGAGGAAGAAGAGGAGAAGAAAAAAAGGAAAAAAUUAAAAUAUUAUUAAAAAUUGUCAACAUCAACCGGCCGGCUUCCAGUCAGCAAAAUUCGAACAAAAUUACCCGGAAAUGAUUGAAUUAACACAAUGUAAAAAAAUUUAGUACUAAAUCGACACCAAAAAAAGGUUUAGGACUAAAUUGAUAUAAAGACAAAAGAUUUAUAACUUUUGUUGGCACUUUUCCCUUUUUUUUAAGUGGUUUCUUCCCCUUCUUUCCCUUGUGAGUUAGGGCUCUCUCUUGGGAGAUUUCAUUCGGUUUCUGUCCAAAUUAAGAGACAUAAUGGAUAUUCUUUCUAUUCAAACGGAAGAUGAGUCUUAAAGAAUUGAAAUUCCACCUUCUCUCACGCAAAGAUUGACCAAAUGUUCACUCUAUAUACUGUAAUUAUAUACCUACUAACUCACUUUAUCUAAAUCUGAUUUUCUAGACAGGCCAAUCCUAUGUCGGCGGGGAUCGGCCCCACGAUUUCGUCAUCUUUCUAAUCAGGUUUGACUACGACGAGGGCGUUAGAAGGGAUCGUUGUCGGCAGACCGCAAUCCUUAGUAACUUUCUUCGUGAUUACAUGAAAAUUCAGUCACAUUUCAAUUGGUUUCGCCUUUAUUUGGCUGAAAUUGAAUUGCUAACGAAAUAUUUUUCACCGAAAUUUGUUCAUAAUUAUUUGUUAAGAGAAGAUAAGUUCUGUAGCGAUUUCAAUCAUGGAUUCCAAUGAAUCACAAUGAACGGAUACAACUCACGACAACAAAAUAUAAAGCACUUUGUCAAAAUUUAAUUGAUGACAAAGUGAUAAAGAGACAUAAUAUUGAAUUUAAAUUGACGAUGAAGAUUUCUUAAAUACAACUCCAAUACGGGAAUUGAAAGACAUUUGAAUUGUGGAAGAGUAAAGAUAAAAAUAAAUUUGCUAGAAAAUUGAAUUCUUUGGUUGAUUGAAGGAGGUCAUCUACAUGAAUAUACUUAGGUAUUUAUAGCCUAACAUAAUCGAUAAUUACUUAUGCAUGGUUAUUAUUUAAAUCUUUAGACUUGCCACAAUCUCAAGUUUCAUAGCUCCCCUAUGAAGGGUUAUUACUCGAAUUUCCAAGCAUAAUUUCCUUGCCACAAUCUUAAACUUCAUAACUCCACGUAAUCCUUAUCUGAAGUAAAUUCCAACCAUUUUUAAUACUUAUCUUAAAUAUUAAUCAUAUGGUAAAAUCAUAAUCGAUCAAUAUAUCGACAGCGAUACCUAAUUGUCAAUAUUCAUGAUUGUCUUUGCAAUAUAACACUUGUCGAUCGAUAUAGCUUUUACUCAUCAACAUUGAAGUCAAUCGACAGCUAAUCACAAUCACAUGAUAUCUGUAUCGAUAGCAACAUCAAUCNNNNNNNNNNNNNNNNNNNNNNNNNNNNNNNNNNNNNNNNNNNNNNNNNNNNNNNNNNNNNNNNNNNNNNNNNNNNNNNNNNNNNNNNNNNNNNNNNNNNUCCGAUUGCCUUCGCUCUCAUUGUUGUUGCUCUUGGAGCUGUCAAGUGCGGUUUGCUGAUGUAUGUCCUGCUUGGUGACAUGCCUUGGUCAAUUUUCUUUCUCUAUGUUGUCCUCAUAGCAUUUACAUUUACCGCGAAUUAGAGAAUGGUGACAAUUUCCUAUUCUCUUGAUGCUGUGGUUUGCAAACUCGGCUUUAAUUUGUGUCCUAAUGCUGGUUUGGAGAUGAACCUUGUGUUGUUCUAUUAUUACUUCAAAUACCUUUUACAUCAUAAGGAGAAUAUGUAAUGAUGAUAAAUAGUGACAGUUUCCGGAGAUGGACCUUGUUGUUGAUUCAGUAUCUUAACAGAAAAGUGAGAAUGAAUAAUCUUGGUUCAAUGUAAGCAUAGACGUCUAUAAAUGCAUGUCGAUGACUAAAAAUGUUUUUACAUUUGAAAAGGGCUGGAGAGUAUGAUUUUCUGGGAAUGAAGUCGCUCUAAGCCCUCGGCAACAAUAGUUUUUUUUUUUUUUUUUUUUUUGUGCACUGAGAAAGGGGUUGUAAGCUUAAGAGAAGCCAAUUAUUUCCAUUUUCUUCGUAGUUGAGAUCAAGUAUCAAAUGUGGACCAUCAAAAACCCAAAGCAAAUCACUAGAAAUUCUGUUUUCUUGCACCUCAUAUUCUUUGAUCACGAGAAACUCAUAGAUGAAAGCAUUGGAACACCAAGUUGUACCCAAGAUGUGUUCUCUAUUCUUUUUAUUAUUUUGUUAAAAUAUCCAGGAUUUAAUUCUCGAUGUUCUCAGUGACUCAAACUCUUGAAAUAGACAAUGUAAUUGGGGACAUAUUUGGUGACUGUAAAUCUGUCAAAAAAUAAGAUGGGAGUUUGCUGUCAUGCUAACAUGGGUCGGAUGAUGCUAACUGAAUGCCGCAUUGGCUGCAAGUCAAAGUCGUGUACAAAUAGCAAAUUAAAUUAUGCAUUUUUUUUUAUAAAUAAUAUGUACAGGGGUUGUGUUUGUAUGUCUGUAAUUAUGUACACCGCUACUGAACAUGAGAUUGCCAUUGCUUGCGUAAGCAUUCAAUGGAUCAGCAGUAAUGAAAUUGCAAAGCUACUUUCUUGCUCUCCUGUCCAAUUCUGUUCUUUGAUCUUCAUCGCGGUGACGAGACGCGAGAGAAGAGGCCCGGCCCAGUCGUAAUGGGCUAGGGAGGAGGACUAGUUUUGGGCCGAGAGCCGGCCCAUCUCGGCCCAGUCGCAGCUGGGCCGGCGAGAGUAAACUAAAGACCAGAGGGGAGAGAGAGAGGGUGGCGAGGGCGAUUUCGGCUGCGCGAAGAUGGCGUCCUCCGGCGCCGCCGUCGGAUCCGGAGCUCCGGUCACGCUGAAGGAGCUCCGGCCGCCGUCUCCUCUCUUCGCCGACGGGGCUUCUGUUCGCGUCCUCGGCAAGUAGGCUCUCAUGUCCUUCCUCCUCCUCCUCCUCCUCCUCCUCCACCUCCUCCUGCGCAAUGGUGUUGAAUUGAUCUGUUGAAUCAGUGCUCCUGGCGCCUUCUCCCUCCCCCCUGAUUCUCGUCGAUCCGCUCGCCAUUUCAUUUUCCGUCCCUACCUGGUUUCGCCUUUUCCGAGGGGAUAUCGGCGCGUGAAACGGAGCUUGUACGAGCUAGGGUUUUGCAUAGUAGUUAGCUUUUGAUUACUCUAGGGUCGAUGAGAUUGCAGAUGCGUGUAAUGUGGCUGCGAAGCCGAGCUCCGGAGUUGCAGCUCUCGUACACUUGUAGGACUAGACUGGACUUACGACCUUGUCAUCGACAUUCCGCCAUUUGGAACUUGUUUUCGUUCGUGUCAGAUUGGGCAGGCUUCGGCUGGCAAUGAACUUCCAAUGCCCGUGUGACGGCCGGAAAAAUAAAAGAACUUGAACUGUGUUGAGUUUCAUGAUUGAUUGAUGCCGCACUGCACAAGUUUCGGUUUUUUUUCUUGUUUUUGAGGAUGGCAAGGCCUGUAAUGAACUUGGAUCAGACAUUUUCCUAGGUACUGAUGUUGUCUAGAUUACUUGAGAAUGUGGCCGAUUUUGGGUUUGGCAAAUGAUCCUGUUUUGAACUGGGAUAAAGCAAUUGCCCCGACCUUGAUGCAAGGCCGAGGCAAAGGCGUUUAAAAAGUUGUCCUCUUUCUUUUCCUCCCUUUCUCGGUCAUCUGUGCGCCUUUCGGUUUCUAUUGUUGAUCAGUUUCUCCUUUCAGAAUGUCAUGGUUUUCCGGGGACUGAUAUCUGCUUUUCACUUGAGGUUACAAGAGUAUUCCGUGGAGACAACCAUAGCCAUGAUUGUCGAUGGAGAUGCCAGUCUGAAGAUCGACACACAGCAUCUGAGGGACCAUAGUUUUCAUAUUGGCUCGAUCUACCAGUUUAUUGACGAACUCUCGAUUCAACCUGAUAAUGAGGUGAGAACAACUUUCAUUGUUUAAGAUUUGAGUUCUGCCGGCAAAUUGAAUUGCGCACGAUGUGUGUAUUGUGCUUGGUGGUAUUGACCAUUUGGGUUAAAAGAGUGUUCUUGCUUUGCAGGCGCUGUUGCGGGCUCGAGUGGGUAGAAAUGUCGAUGGCCUCGAACUCAACCUCUACUAUCAGUCUUUGCAGCUUGUUAUGCAGUUUCAGGCUGAACGCACGAGGUGUCAAUCAACUUAACAAACCUUUCUACCGAGAAACUACUGAGAAAGGAUCCUCAGAAGUUCUUUUAGGAAGGACACGAGGGUAAACAAACCGAUGAAACUGUUUCCUUUCCAACCCCUUGGCAUCAACAGCAGCAACGGCGGUUGGGAUUAUGUCUGUCUGGACGGAUUGAAUUUUUUGUAAGUGAAGGAAGCUGGAAGUAACGCUGAGUUGAUGAAACAUCAUAGCAUCUAAACUAAGCAUCGCUCAGCAGG
rnacentral:lncRNA from 1 species